rnacentral:misc_RNA from 1 species
GAUGAAGAACGCAGCUAAACGCGAUAAGUAAUGUGAAUUGCAGAAUCCAGUGAAUCAUCGAAUCUUUGAACGCACAUUGCGCCCGCCAGCAUUCUGGCGGGCAUGCCUGUUCGAGCGUCAUUUCAACCCUCGACCUCCCCUUGGGGAGGUCGGCGUUGGGGACCGGCAGCACACCGCCGGCCCUGAAAUGGAGUGGCGGCCCGUCCGCGGCGACCUCUGCGCAGUAAUACAGCUCGCACCGGGACCCCGACGCGGCCACGCCGUAAAACACCCAACUUCUGAACGUUGACCUCGAAUCAGGUAGGACUACCCGCUGAACUUAAGCAUAUCAAUAAGCGGAGGA